GACGAACGCUGGCGGCGUGCUUAACACAUGCAAGUCGAACGGCAAGGCCCUGCUUUUGUGGUGUGCUCGAGUGGCGAACGGGUGAGUAACACGUGAGUAACCUGCCCUUGACUUUGGGAUAACUUCAGGAAACUGGGGCUAAUACCGGAUAGGAGCUCCUGCUGCAUGGUGGGGGUUGGAAAGUUUCGGCGGUUGGGGAUGGACUCGCGGCUUAUCAGCUUGUUGGUGGGGUAGUGGCUUACCAAGGCUUUGACGGGUCGCCGGCCUGAGAGGGUGACCGGCCACAUUGGGACUGAGAGACGGCCCAGACUCCUAUGGGAGGCAGCAGUGGGGAAUAUUGCACAAUGGGCGGAAGCCUGAUGCAGCAACGCCGCGUGCGGGAUGACGGCCUUCGGGUUGUAAACCGCUUUCGCCUGUGACGAAGCGUGAGUGACGGUAAUGGGUAAAGAAGCACCGGCUAACUACGUG
rnacentral:rRNA from 1 species